GGAAAUGUUCCGUUUUUACACAAAGUGACGAAUGCACCUAGGUAUGACAAUCAACUGGAGGUUCGUGUAUUCAAAAGAUCCAAACAACUGAG
rnacentral:lncRNA from 1 species